GAUGAACGCUAGCGGCAGGCUUAAUACAUGCAAGUCGUGGGGCAGCAGGUUUGUAGCAAUACAGAUGCUGGCGACCGGCAAACGGGUGCGGAACACGUACAGAACCUUCCUUUGAGCGGGGAAUAGCCCAGAGAAAUUUGGAUUAAUACCCCAUAGUAUAAUGAAGUGGCAUCACUUUAUUAUUAAGAUUUAUCACUCGAAGAUGGCUGUGCGGCUGAUUAGGUAGUUGGCGGGGUAAAGGCCCACCAAGCCUGCGAUCAGUAACUGGUGUGAGAGCACGACCAGUCACACGGGCACUGAGACACGGGCCCGACUCCUACGGGAGGCAGCAGUAAGGAAUAUUGGUCAAUGGAGGCAACUCUGAACCAGCCAUGCCGCGUGGAGGAUGAAGGUCCUCUGGAUUGUAACUU
rnacentral:rRNA from 1 species